GCUUCCGCUCCCCUGAUUGGCCGCCUGGCGGUCACGUGGAGCGCCCCGGAAGCGGAAGCGGCGGCGAUGGCGGCGCGGCGCGCGGUCGCCAUGGGGCUCUGGGCCGCCCUUCCCCCCCCAGGCUGGGCCCGGCCCUGGAGGGGCCUCAGCAGCAGGCCGGGUCCCCCUGACCCCCACUCGGUGCUGGGGGUCCAGCCCGGGGCCUCCCCCCGCGAGAUCCGGGCGGCGUUUCUGCAGCGCUGCAAGGAGGUUCACCCCGACGGGGACCCCUCGGACCCCUCCCGCCACGGCCGCUUCCUGCGCCUGGCCGAGGCCUACGCGGCCCUGAGGGACCCCCGGGGACCCCCCGGGACCCCCCCCCGCCCCGGGACCCCCCCCGGCCCCGGGACCCCCCCCAGCGGGGCCAGCCCCGGCUGGGAGCAGAACCGGCGGCACUGGGAGCAGAACCGGCGGCACUGGGAGGAGAACCGGCGGUACUGGGAGCAGUUCCGACCCCCCCGGGACCCCCCCCGAGCCCCCCACCGGCGCCUCCUGGGGCUGCUGCUGCUGCUGAUGGCCCUGGGGGGGCUGGCCCAUGGGCUGGCCUACAGGUACGUGGCCGGGGCUCACGCCGCCUUCCUGGACGAGCGGGACCGGGAGCUGCGCGCGGCCUACGAGAGAGCCCGGAGCCGGGCGGGGUCGCACGAGGAGCUGGUGAGGCGGCUGCGGGAGAGGGGGAGGGGCCGGGGAGGGGGAGGGGGAGGGGAGGGGUCCUGACCCUCCCCCUCCCCCCCCCGCUGCCCUCCGAGCCCUCCCCCCACCUCUUGCCCCUCCCCCCCGCGCUCGGCCGGGAGCCCCCAGCGCGGCGUCCCCAUCGCCGCCUUCUGCAAAGAUUUCAACGAGCGCACCCGGGACAUCAAGCCCGGGGUCCCGCUGCGGGUCCGGCUGCUCGUGCAUCCUGACCGGACCUACUCGCUGAGCAUCGGGACCCCCCCCACCUCC